rnacentral:tRNA from 1 species
GGAGAUGUAGCUCAGUUGUUAGAGCACUUGUCUACCAUGCAGGAAGCCCUAGGUUCAAUCCUCAGCAUCACAU